AUUGAACGCUGGCGGCAGGCCUAACACAUGCAAGUCGAGCGGAUGAAGGGAGCUCUCUCCUGGAUUCAGCGGCGGACGGGUGAGUAAUGCCUAGGAAUCUGCCUGGUAGUGGGGGAUAACGUCCGGAAACGGGCGCUAAUACCGCAUACGUCCUGAGGGAGAAAGUGGGGGUUCUUCGGACCUCACGCUAUUAGAUGAGCCUAGGUCGGAUUAGCUAGUUGGUGGGGUAAAGGCCUACCAAGGCGACGAUCCGUAACUGGUCUGAGAGGGUGAUCAGCCACACUGGAACUGAGACACGGUCCAGACUCCUACGGGAGGCAGCAGUGGGGAAUAUUGGACAAAGGGCGAAAGCCUGAUCCAGCCAUGCCGCGUGUGUGAAGAAGGUCUUCGGAUUGUAAAGCACUUUAAGUUGGGAGGAAGGGCAGUAAGUUAAUACCUUGCUGUUUUGACGUUACCAACAGAGUAAGCACCGGCUAACUUCGUG
rnacentral:rRNA from 1 species